GGUGGGAGGUGGGGCUGGGCUCUGUUACCUAACAGUGGUGGGGGGACAGCUGGGAAAGGAUGCAGGGUUGUGGCAUUGCUUCUGGGGUGCUGUGUGAAGCCAUCAAUCUUCUCCCCUCUCUGGGCCUUGGGAAUAUAUCACCCCCUCUGGGGGCGUUGGUUCAUCUUGAAUCCCUCAUCUCCCAGCUCCGGCCUGAUGGAAUGGGCUGCCCCAGAGCGAAGGGAGGAAUCGUCUCUGUCUGUCUCCUCCCCACCUGCACUCCACACAGGUGUGAAUCAGUCCAGAGGAGAGCGAUUCUGAUCUGAGGGCACUGUGUGAAGACCUGGGAUGCCGGGUCUCUGGGAGGAAGUCCUGAUCACCCACUGCGCACCAGGCUCGUGGACAGGGCAGACGUCCUCUCCUCCAAUCUGCAACCACUGCUGUGAGUGCCCUCCUCUUGCAGAUGAGGAAGCAAAGGUUCAGAGUGGGCAGUGACUCGCCUAAGGCCACACAGCCCGGCCAGUGCCUGUGGAGGGACGCCCAGCCUGGGCUGGGUCUUGCUCCUGGAACUUUCUGCUCCCACUUUAUAUGCCUCAGCCCCCUGACAGUGAGCUCAGAACCCCUUCUUGGAGACUAGGAGAGGCUGGGGAUGGUGAGGGAGAGGAAGG
rnacentral:lncRNA from 13 species